GAUGAACGCUGGCGGCGUGCCUAAUACAUGCAAGUCGAGCGAACGGACGAGAAGCUUGCUUCUCUGAUGUUAGCGGCGGACGGGUGAGUAACACGUGGAUAACCUACCUAUAAGACUGGGAUAACUUCGGGAAACCGGAGCUAAUACCGGAUAAUAUUUUGAACCGCAUGGUUCAAAAGUGAAAGACGGUCUUGCUGUCACUUAUAGAUGGAUCCGCGCUGCAUUAGCUAGUUGGUAAGGUAACGGCUUACCAAGGCAACGAUGCAUAGCAGACCUGAGAGGGUGAUCGGCCACGCUGGAAUGGCAACACGAUCCAGCCGCCUGCGAUAGGGAGCAGUAGCGAAUCUUACGCAAUGGGCGAAACCAUGACAGUACAACGCCGAGUAAGUGGUGAAGGUCUUCUGUUCGUCAAACUCUGUUAUUGGUGGAGAACAUAUGUGUAAGUAACUGUGCACUUCUUGACGGUACCUAGUCAGGAAGCCACGGCUAACUACGUG
rnacentral:rRNA from 1 species